rfam:Talaromyces marneffei PM1 scf001, whole genome shotgun sequence.
UCGGGAUGGCAGUAAAUUUAACGAACCCUCAAAUUGCCUUUUACCAUUUGACGCUGUGAAUUUCUGCAAAGAGUCCCAGACAAUCUUUGGACCAAACGUUUUUGCUUAU